rnacentral:rRNA from 1 species
UUAAGCGACUAAGCGUACACGGUGGAUGCCUAGGCAGUCAGAGGCGAUGAAGGGCGUGCUAAUCUGCGAUAAGCGUCGGUAAGCUGAUAUGAAGCGUUAUACCCGACGAUACCCGAAUGGGGAAACCCAGUGUGUUUCGACACACUAUCAUGACAUGAAUACAUAGUGUCAUGAGGCGAACCGGGGGAACUGAAACAUCUCAGUACCCCGAGGAAAAGAAAUCAACCGAGAUUCCCCCAGUAGCGGCGAGCGAACGGGGAGGAGCCCAGAACCUGAAUCAGUUUGUGUGUUAGUGGAAGCGUCUGGAAAGUCGCACAGUAAAGGGUGAUAGUCCCGUACACAAAAAUGCACAAGCUGUGAGUUCGAUGAGUAGGGCGGGACACGUGACAUCCUGUCUGAAUAUGGGGGGACCAUCCUCCAAGGCUAAAUACUCCUGACUGACCGAUAGUGAACCAGUACCGUGAGGGAAAGGCGAAAAGAACCCCGGCGAGGGGAGUGAAAUAGAACCUGAAACCGUGUACGUACAAGCAGUGGGAGCCUACUUGUUAGGUGACUGCGUACCUUUUGUAUAAUGGGUCAGCGACUUAUAUUCUGUAGCAAGGUUAACCGUAUAGGGGAGCCGCAGGGAAACCGAGUCUUAACUGGGCGUUAAGUUGCAGGGUAUAGACCCGAAACCCGGUGAUCUAGCCAUGGGCAGGUUGAAGGUUGGGUAACACUAACUGGAGGACCGAACCGACUAAUGUUGAAAAAUUAGCGGAUGACUUGUGGCUGGGGGUGAAAGGCCAAUCAAACCGGGAGAUAGCUGGUUCUCCCCGAAAGCUAUUUAGGUAGCGCCUCGUGAACUCAUCUUCGGGGGUAGAGCACUGUUUCGGCUAGGGGGUCAUCCCGACUUACCAACCCGAUGCAAACUACGAAUACCGAAGAAUGUUAUCACGGGAGACACACGGCGGGUGCUAACGUUCGUCGUGAAGAGGGAAACAACCCAGACCGCCAGCUAAGGUCCCAAAGUCAUGGUUAAGUGGGAAACGAUGUGGGAAGGCACAGACAGCCAGGAUGUUGGCUUAGAAGCAGCCAUCAUUUAAAGAAAGCGUAAUAGCUCACUGGUCGAGUCGGCCUGCGCGGAAGAUGUAACGGGGCUAAACCAUGCACCGAAGCUGCGGCAGCGACACUUAGGUGUUGUUGGGUAGGGGAGCGUUCUGUAAGCCUGCGAAGGUGGCCUGUGAGGGCUGCUGGAGGUAUCAGAAGUGCGAAUGCUGACAUAAGUAACGAUAAUGCGGGUGAAAAACCCGCACGCCGGAAGACCAAGGGUUCCUGUCCAACGUUAAUCGGGGCAGGGUGAGUCGACCCCUAAGGCGAGGCUGAAAAGCGUAGUCGAUGGGAAACAGGUUAAUAUUCCUGUACUCGGUGUUACUGCGAAGGGGGGACGGAGAAAGCUAGGUUAUCCGGGCGACGGUUGUCCCGGUUUAAGCGUGAAGGUGGAUGACUUUGGUAAAUCCGGGUCAUCGUUAACACUGAGGCGUGAUGACGAGUCACUACGGUGAUGAAGUAACCGAUGCUACGCUUCCAGGAAAAGCCUCUAAGCUCCAGGUAACAUCAAAUCGUACCCCAAACCGACACAGGUGGUCAGGUAGAGAAUACUCAGGCGCUUGAGAGAACUCGGGUGAAGGAACUAGGCAAAAUGGUGCCGUAACUUCGGGAGAAGGCACGCUGAUGGUAAGUGAAGUGACUUGCUCAUGGAGCUGAAAUCAGUCGAAGAUACCAGCUGGCUGCAACUGUUUAAUAAAAACACAGCACUGUGCAAACACGAAAGUGGACGUAUACGGUGUGACGCCUGCCCGGUGCCGGAAGGUUAAUUGAUGGGGUCAGCCGCAAGGCGAAGCUCUUGAUCGAAGCCCCGGUAAACGGCGGCCGUAACUAUAACGGUCCUAAGGUAGCGAAAUUCCUUGUCGGGUAAGUUCCGACCUGCACGAAUGGCGUAAUGAUGGCCAGGCUGUCUCCACCCGAGACUCAGUGAAAUUGAACUCGCUGUGAAGAUGCAGUGUACCCGCGGCAAGACGGAAAGACCCCGUGAACCUUUACUAUAGCUUGACACUGAACCUUGAGCCUUGAUGUGUAGGAUAGGUGGGAGGCUUUGAAGUGUGGACGCCAGUCUGCAUGGAGCCAACCUUGAAAUACCACCCUUUAAUGUUUGAUGUUCUAACGUGGACCCGUGAUCCGGGUUGCGGACAGUGUCUGGUGGGUAGUUUGACUGGGGCGGUCUCCUCCCAAAGCGUAACGGAGGAGCACGAAGGUUAGCUAAUCCUGGUCGGACAUCAGGAGGUUAGUGCAAAGGCAUAAGCUAGCUUGACUGCGAGAGUGACAGCUCGAGCAGGUGCGAAAGCAGGUCUUAGUGAUCCGGUGGUUCUGAAUGGAAGGGCCAUCGCUCAACGGAUAAAAGGUACUCCGGGGAUAACAGGCUGAUACCGCCCAAGAGUUCAUAUCGACGGCGGUGUUUGGCACCUCGAUGUCGGCUCAUCACAUCCUGGGGCUGAAGUAGGUCCCAAGGGUAUGGCUGUUCGCCAUUUAAAGUGGUACGCGAGCUGGGUUUAGAACGUCGUGAGACAGUUCGGUCCCUAUCUGCCGUGGGCGUUGGAAGAUUGAGAGGGGUUGCUCCUAGUACGAGAGGACCGGAGUGAACGCACCACUGGUGUACGGGUUGUGAUGCCAAUUGCAUUGCCCGGUAGCUAAGUGCGGAAGAGAUAACCGCUGAAAGCAUCUAAGCGGGAAACUUGCCUCGAGAUGAGUCUUCCCUGGGCACUAGAUGCCCCUGAAGGGCCGUUGAAGACGACGACGUAGAUAGGCUGGGUGUGUAAGCGUAGCGAUACGUUGAGCUAACCAGUACUAAUGACCCGAGAGGCUUAACCUU